GAUGAACGCUGGCGGCGUGCCUAAUACAUGCAAGUCGAGCGAACGGAUAAGGAGCUUGCUCCUUUGAAGUUAGCGGCGGACGGGUGAGUAACACGUGGGUAACCUACCUAUAAGACUGGAAUAACUUCGGGAAACCGGAGCUAAUGCCGGAUAACAUUUGGAACUGCAUGGUUCUAAAGUAAAAGAUGGUUUUGCUAUCAUUUAUAGAUGGACCCGCGCCGGAUUAGCUAGUUGGUAAGGUAACGGCUUACCAAGGCGACGAUACGUAGCCGACCUGAGAGGGUGAUCGGCCACACUGGAACUGAGACACGGUCCAGACUCCUACGGGAGGCAGCAGUAGGGGAUCUUCCGCAAUGGGCGAAAGCCUGACGGAGCAACGCCGCGUGAGUGAUGAAGGUCUUCGGAUCGUAAAACUCUGUUGUUAGGGAAGAACAAAUUUGUUAGUAACUGAACAAGUCUUGACGGUACCUAACCAGAAAGCCACGGCUAACUACGUGCCAGCCGCCGCCGUAA
rnacentral:rRNA from 1 species